UAAUACGUAGGGUGCGAGCGUUAAUCGGAAUUACUGGGCGUAAAGCGUGCGCAGGUGGUUGUGUAAGCUUGAUGUGAAAUCCCCGGGCUUAACCUGGGAAUGGCAUUGAGGACUGCACGGCUAGAGUGUGGCAGAGGGGGGUGGAAUUCCGCGUGUAGCAGUGAAAUGCGUAGAGAUGCGGAGGAACACCGAUGGCGAAGGCAGCCCCCUGGGCUAACACUGACACUCAUGCACGAAAGCGUGGGGAGCAAACAGGAUUAGAUACCCUGGUAGUCCACGCCCUAAACGAUGUCUACUAGUUGUUGGGGUAGCAAUACCUUGGUAACGCAGCUAACGCGUGAAGUAGACCGCCUGGGGAGUACGGUCGCAAGAUUA
rnacentral:rRNA from 1 species